GAUGAACGCUGGCGGCGUGCCUAAUACAUGCAAGUCGAGCGAACGGACGAGAAGCUUGCUUCUCUGAUGUUAGCGGCGGACGGGUGAGUAACACGUGGAUAACCUACCUAUAAGACUGGGAUAACUUCGGGAAACCGGAGCUAAUACCGGAUAAUAUUUUGAACCGCAUGGUUCAAAAGUGAAAGACGGUCUUGCUGUCACUUAUAGAUGGAUCCGCGCUGCAUUAGCUAGUUGGUAAGGUAACGGCUUACCAAGGCAACGAUGCAUAGCCGACCUGAGAGGGUGAGCGGCCACGCUGGAACUGAGACACGGUCCAGACUCCUACGGGAGGCAGCAGUAGGGAAUCUUCCGCAAUGGGCGAAAGCCUGACGGAGCAACGCCGCGUGAGUGAUGAAGGUCUUCGGAUCGUAAAACUCUGUUAUUAGGGAAGAACAUAUGUGUAAGUAACUGUGCACAUCUUGACGGUACCUAAUCAGAAAGCCACGGCUAACUACGUG
rnacentral:rRNA from 1 species